GAUGAACGCUAGCUACAGGCUUAACACAUGCAAGUCGAGGGGUAACAAGAGAAAAGCUUGCUUUUCUUGUUGAUGACCGGCGCACGGGUGAGUAACGCGUAUCCAACCUGCCUAUAACUAGGGAAUAACCUUGCGAAAGUAAGACUAAUACCCUAUGAUUUCCUUUGAUGACAUCAGAUUAGGAAUAAAGAUUUAUCGGUUAUAGAUGGGGAUGCGUCUGAUUAGCUUGUUGGCGGGGUAACGGCCCACCAAGGCAACGAUCAGUAGGGGUUCUGAGAGGAAGGUCCCCCACAUUGGAACUGAGACACGGUCAAAACUCCUACGGGAGGCAGCAGUGAGGAAUAUUGGCCAAUGGGCGGAAGCCUGAACCAGCCAAGUAGCGUGCAGGAUGACGGCCCUAUGGGUUGUAAACUGCUUUUAUACAGGAAUAAAGUUAGCCACGUGUGGUUAUUUGUAGGUACUGUAUGAAUAAGGACCGGCUAAUUCCGUGCCAGCCGCCGCCGUAA
rnacentral:rRNA from 1 species